CGAUUGAUCAGAUACCGUCGUAGUCUUAACCAUAAACUAUGCCGACCAGGGAUUGGGAGACGUUUUUCAUGACUCCCCCAGCACCUUACGAGAAAUCACAAGUCUUUGGGUUCUGGGGGGAGUAUGGUCGCAAGGCUGAAACUUAAAGGAAUUGACGGAAGGGCACCACCAGGAGUGGAGCCUGCGGCUUAAUUUGACUCAACACGGGAAAACUUACCAGGUCCAGACACAGUUAGGAUUGACAGAUUGAGAGCUCUUUCUUGAUUCUGUGGGUGGUGGUGCAUGGCCGUUCUUAGUUGGUGGAGUGAUUUGUCUGGUUAAUUCCGAUAACGAACGAGACCUCAGCCUGCUAAUUAGUUAUGCUAGUCUUUACGCUUGGGAGACGCAGAGUACGCCAGCAAUGGAACGCUUUGUGCAUCCUGUCCUGACUUGUAGUUAACUUCUUAGAGGGACACUUGGUGUCUAACCAAGGGAAGUUUGAGGCAAUAACAGGUCUGUGAUGCCCUUUAGAUGUUCUGGGCUGCACGCGCGCUACACUGAUGCAAUCAACAAGUCUUUCUCCUUGGCCGAAAGGUCUGGGUAAACUUUUGAAAUUGCAUCGUGCUGGGGAUCGAUAAUUGUAAUUAUUUAUCGUCAACGAGGAACUCCUAGUAAGCGCAAGUCAUCAGCUUGCGUUGAUUACGUCCCUGCCCUUUGUACACACCGCCCGUCGCUCCUACCGAUUGGAUGGUCCGGUGAAGCCCUCGGAUCGGCCUUGACCUCCGGUGAUAGGACGAGAAGUAGGCUAAACCUUACCAUCUAGAGGAAGGUGAAGUCGUAACAAGGUUUCCGUAGGUGAACCUGCAGAAGGAUGA
rnacentral:rRNA from 1 species